rnacentral:antisense_RNA from 1 species
ACAACCCUCGGGGUUAAAGAGCCUCCUCGAGGAAGAGGCUGGGACACAGCUGAAAGAGAUUGACCCACAACCACUCUAGGGGCCAUCACCCGCCCUUCUUCAGUCCUGGGCGUGAAGGCAGAUUUCUCCCCUAGCCUGUGCGGGAGAGGAGCCCUGGUUUUUCUAACAAGGACUACUGUAGGUUCGCCGAGUUCGAGGGACGCUAUGUAUGCAGCGCCUAGGCCCGCACACAGGCUUCCGCGUUACCGACACCGCGUGGGGGAGGAGGGCAAGACCCGAGGCUUGCAGAGAUGGGGGGUGCACGGUGGCCACAGUAGGGAAGGUGCGGAGCAUGAUGGUGCUCUGUAGGAGCGCAGACGCUGAAAGGCGCGCUGCUGUGGCUGGGAGAAGAGCGGAGCCAGGAGUUUGUUCCCAAUAUCUUAGUGCUAUGGCAAAAGAAGGGGGAGGAGUAAUUGUGGGGCCCCCCACACACCCGCUGCGGCGAUACACUCACCCUCGCCAAAGUCCUUCCGGAAGUCUAAGUUCGAAGAUGGCGCCGCCUGUCUGGUCGCGGUCUUAUGACGAAAUCUUGUUAGCUGCUCUUCACUGACGCCCCCACCCCAGUGCACAAGAGAUGGGGUCUUGUUAUGUUGACCAGGCUGGUCUUGAACACCUGACCUGAAGUGAUCCUCUUGCCUCAGCCUCCCAUAGUGCUGCGAUCACAGGUGUAAGUCACUGAGUUUGGCCAUUAUUCCAUUUCUGUACACAAAAACCUUUCUCAUUCUGUGCUAUAACUAGUUAGCAUUUAAUUGGGUGGAUGUGGUAUAACUAGUGCCUUGUUGAUAUUGAUGCAUAUUUACAUGGUUUUGCUGUUAUAAACAAUGGUCCCUUGCUAUUAUAAACCACACUGCUAUAAGUAACCUUGCAUCUAAAUUACUUCAAAUGUGUAAUUAUAUGGGUAGGAUAAUUUCUAGAAGUGGAAUUGUGAACCAAAGUUUUAGGUGCAUUUGUAAUUUUGAUUUAUAACCAAUCUUUUCACUGAUCUACUUCUCUGCCUCUAAUUUCUACUAGGUGUUUGUUUGUUUGUUUGUUUUGAGACAGGGUCUUGCUCUGUCACCCAGGCUGGAGGACAGUGGUGCAAUCACGGCUCACUGCAGCCUCAACCUGCCACCUCAGCCUCCUGAAUAGUUGGGGUGUGCGGCAGGUGUAUACCACCACAUCCAGGUUUUUUUGUUGUUGUUGUUUAAUAGAGAUGAGGUCUUGCUAUAUUGCCCAGGCAGGUCUCACACUACUGAGCGCAAGCGAUCCUCCUGCCUAUGCCUCCCAAAGUGCUGGGAUUACAGGUGUGAGUUGCCAUGCCUGGCCCGGUUAUCUUUCUAAAGCAUAAAGCAACCCUGUUGAUCCUCUGCUUAAUUUUGAUGAUUAAGUAGUAUGUUCAAAAUAUAGAAAUCCAUGUAUUCAUAAUGAUCUUUUAAAAAAAGUAAAAGCCAAAAUAUCAGCUACUCAUCCUACACCAUUG